ACGUCAGGCUUUGCGGGGUCCUGACGGCUGCGAGCUGCUCCAAUGAGCUCUCUCCACAUGCGGCCACUCGAGGUCUCGCUGUGAGGAAGGCCCCUGCCACUCAACUCGUUAUAAACGGGCUGCUGCCGGUGGCCGAUCGCUCACAUUCAGUCGGCCGAGUGAGGCGCUGCUAUUGUGCCGCCUUCAGAGAAGCAACAGCAGGGUCUCCGUGUCGCAGUCCUGCGGUUCUCCACUCCAUAUCACGUUUCAAACAGACAAAACCCACAACAAAGAGAGGAGAUAAAAAGAGCAAGAAUUUCUGUGCAAAUUAUACCCAAGCGGAGAAAAAUAAGCAAGAGAUUGAGAGUCCUAUAUAAAAAAUAUACAAUUUUCUUUUAAAAAAAACUAUUGAAGUGGUUGAUCCGAGUCUGCCUGCAUCCACGCUUGUCUUUCUCCCCUUGUGUGUGUGGGCUUGUUUCUGGUGAGGAAACACCAGUUCCGCGGACGAGAAACCGUAACUCUGAAGGACGGAAACCUGGAGUGAAACCAUGGAGAGCGCGCACACAAAGACUGUGGAUGAAGUUCUAGCCUAUUUUAACGUCAAUGAGACAACGGGUCUUAGUUUGGAUCAAGUCAAGAAACACAAGGAAAGAUGGGGACCGAAUGAGCUACCUGCAGAAGAAGGCAAAUCUUUAUGGGAACUUGUGAUAGAACAAUUUGAAGAUUUAUUGGUUAGAAUUCUACUCUUGGCAGCUUGUAUAUCAUUUGUUCUGGCCUGGUUUGAAGAAGGUGAAGAAACUGUAACUGCCUUUGUGGAGCCUUUUGUAAUACUAUUGAUUCUAGUAGCAAAUGCUAUUGUGGGUGUUUGGCAGGAAAAGAAUGCAGAAAAUGCCAUUGAAGCUCUUAAAGAAUAUGAACCUGAAAUGGGGAAAGUUUAUCGACAAGACAGGAAAAGUGUACAGAGGAUCAAGGCCAGAGAGAUUGUCCCUGGAGAUAUAGUAGAAGUAGCAGUUGGUGACAAGGUUCCUGCUGACAUCAGGCUGACUUCAAUUAAAUCAACAACCCUAAGAGUAGAUCAGUCUAUUCUUACAGGUGAAUCUGUGUCAAUCAUCAAGCACACUGAUCCAGUACCUGACCCUCGUGCUGUGAAUCAGGACAAAAAAAACAUGCUAUUUUCUGGUACAAAUGUUGCAGCUGGAAGGGCAGUUGGAGUUGUCGUUGCCACUGGUACAAGCACAGAAAUUGGAAAAAUUCGUGAUGAAAUGGCAGCGACUGAACAGGAGAGGACGCCGCUUCAACAGAAGCUUGAUGAGUUUGGUGAACAGCUCUCCAAGGUUAUCUCGCUCAUCUGUAUUGCUGUCUGGAUCAUAAACAUUGGUCACUUCAAUGACCCUGUACAUGGUGGCUCCUGGAUCCGUGGUGCCAUCUAUUACUUUAAGAUCGCAGUUGCUCUGGCUGUUGCUGCUAUUCCAGAGGGUUUACCAGCUGUUAUUACUACCUGCCUGGCCCUCGGAACUAGACGAAUGGCAAAGAAGAAUGCUAUUGUGCGGAGUUUGCCCUCUGUUGAAACAUUGGGUUGCACUUCUGUUAUCUGUUCUGACAAAACUGGUACUCUCACUACAAAUCAGAUGUCUGUCUGCCGGAUGUUCAUUGUUGACAAAGUUGAAGGUGAACAGUGUUCUCUGAAUGAGUUUUCAGUAAGUGGCUCCACCUAUAGUCCUGAGGGACAAAUAGAUUUGGAUAACAAGGUAGUGAAAUGUUCUGACUACGAUGGCCUUGUUGAACUGGCAACAAUCUGUGCACUUUGCAAUGAUUCUUCUUUGGAUUAUAAUGAGACCAAAGGUGUGUAUGAGAAGGUUGGAGAAGCCACAGAGACUGCCCUUUGUUGCUUGGCUGAAAAAAUGAAUGUGUUUGAUACAGAUGUGAAGAACCUAUCCAAGAUUGAGCGUGCCAAUGCCUGCUGCACUGUCAUCAAACAACUAAUGAAGAAGGAGUUCACUCUGGAGUUUUCCAGAGACCGGAAAUCGAUGUCUGUUUACUGUUCCCCUAACAAACCCACUCGUUCAUCUAUUGGUAACAAGAUGUUUGUUAAGGGUGCCCCUGAGGGAGUGAUUGAUAGAUGCUCAUAUGUUCGUGUUGGAACCAAUAGAGUGCCCCUCUCAGUGUCUGUCAAAGAGAAGAUUUUGUCUCUUGUCAAAGAAUGGGGUAGCGGGAAGGACACACUUCGUUGCUUGGCACUGGCUACACAUGAUAAUCCAGUCAGAAAAGAAGAUAUGAACUUGGAAGAGUCAUCAAAUUUUAUUAAUUAUGAAGUUGGCCUGACAUUCGUUGGCUGUGUUGGUAUGCUUGAUCCACCACGAUCAGAGGUAGCUGCUUCGGUCAAGAUGUGCAAGCAUGCCGGUAUCCGUGUAAUCAUGAUCACUGGUGACAACAAGGGCACUGCUGUAGCCAUUUGCCGUCGUAUUGGUAUCUUUUCAGAACGGGAAGAUGUCGCUAAAAAAGCUUUCACUGGCCGUGAGUUUGAUGAACUUCCCCCAGCAGAACAACGUGACGCUUGUUUGACUGCUCGCUGCUUUGCUCGCGUUGAACCAUCUCACAAGUCUAAGAUUGUGGAAUUUUUACAAGCUUUUGAUGAAAUCACAGCUAUGACUGGUGAUGGUGUGAAUGACGCUCCUGCCCUGAAGAAGGCAGAGAUUGGAAUUGCCAUGGGAUCUGGUACAGCUGUGGCAAAAUCUGCCUCUGAAAUGGUACUGGCUGAUGACAACUUUUCCACAAUUGUAGCAGCAGUGGAGGAAGGUCGUGCUAUCUACAACAACAUGAAACAAUUUAUUCGCUACCUCAUCUCUUCCAAUGUUGGAGAAGUAGUCUGUAUUUUCUUAACAGCAGCUUUAGGCUUCCCUGAGGCUUUGAUCCCUGUACAGCUCCUGUGGGUGAAUCUGGUGACAGAUGGAUUGCCUGCCACAGCAUUAGGAUUUAAUCCACCUGAUCUGGACAUAAUGGACAAACCGCCUCGUAGUCCUAAGGAACCCUUGAUCAGUGGCUGGCUCUUCUUCCGCUACAUGGCAAUUGGAUGUUAUGUAGGAGCUGCUACAGUUGGUGCUGCUGCUUGGUGGUUCAUAGCUGCAGAAGAUGGACCCAGAGUUACAUAUUACCAGCUGAGCCACUUCUUACAAUGCAAUCCAGAAAACCCGGAUUUCGAAGAUGUUGACUGCGAAAUAUUCGAAUCUCCUUAUCCAAUGACCAUGGCACUUUCUGUCCUAGUGACAAUUGAGAUGUGUAAUGCUCUUAACAGUUUAUCAGAGAACCAGUCAUUGUUGAGAAUGCCACCUUGGGAAAACGUCUGGUUAUUGGGUUCAAUUUGCCUGUCGAUGUCUCUUCACUUCCUCAUUUUAUACGUGGAGCCACUACCGCUCAUCUUUCAAAUUACACCUUUGGAUGUAACACAGUGGCUGAUGGUGCUGAAAAUCUCUCUACCUGUCAUUCUGCUGGAUGAGACACUCAAAUUUAUUGCUCGUAACUACCUUGAAGCGGGUAAAGAGUAUACUCUGCCUAGUGACAAACUGUGUGGUUUCUCAGCAUGUACAGAGGGGAUUUCCUGGCCUUUUGUGCUUAUUUCUGUACCCCUAGUUUUCUGGCUUUACAGUACAGACACUAAUUUUGCUGAAAUGUUCUGGUCUUGACUGAAAUAGAGCUGUCGUUGGCAUAGUGAAGACAUGGCAUUUGAUUAACUUCGACCAAAAUUUUUACCAUUUAAACAUGUGAUUCCAAGAGUCUGUUUCUGCUGAAUUUCAUACGAACCCAUGUAUGGAUGAAGUUAAUAUUUUUUUCAUGAACUCCAGAAAGAAACAGGAUUGAUUUUUACACAAUUUAAAAAAAAAUUUAAUAAAAAAAAGCUGUGCAUUGGCAUGUACAGAGAUUAAUACUAUUUUCUGCAAAAUUUUGUUUUUGUAGAUGAAACAGCAUGUACAGAUGUUCUGUUUACUAAUUUUGUUCAUCUUUUGUGUAUAAAUUGAGAACAAUAAGUUGACGGAUGUAUUUUUUGGCUAAAAAUGGAAUACAAGAGAAUGUUAAAUUCUUUGAAAAUUUGAGAAAAAGAUUGCAUGGUGUGUCACUGCAUGGCCACUUUUGCUGGGUUCUAUUUUAGACUUUAUUUCAUUCCUUCUGUCAAAUGGUUUUAGUUCAGAACUCCAUUACUUUCUGCACUCAGCAGAGUAUUGCUACCUCAACUACCUUUUUACUUUUACUUCUUGUAUUCAUUUCUGUGUUCUCAACUCUCAUGUUUACAGUCCAACCUUGUUUGAGGUAUGCUAAUUACUGCCUGUGCAGAACACUCCACUUUCCUCAGUCCACACCCAGUAUCGCUGUUUUGUCCCCAGUGAGUUAAAUGGUAUUUAUUUAAAAUGCUGAUUUGUAUUUUGUUGUAACAGUCUUGAUGGGAUUCUUUUACUUUUGCCAGUUCUACCUUGGAUGUUCUACAUCAAGGGUUAAUUCACAUGAGUCAAAAAAUAAACUGUUUUAGACAAACAGAGAGGAAAUUCUCCAUGUCUCUCUUUUCACCAGGGUGGCUCAUGUAGGUUCUUCAAAUGCAAUUAAAGAAAAUGUCCUGCAGUUUAAAUUGUUAUUAGGUCUUAUUUGUUAGAUUCUUAGUUGUCACACAGACUUGGCCAUGAUUUAAGAUCAUAAGACCAUAAGACAUAGGAGUGGAAGUAAGGUCAUUCGGCCCAUUGCGUCCACUCCGCCAUUUAAAUCAUGGCUGAUGGACAUUUCAACUCCACUUCCCUGCACUCUCCCCUUAGCCCUUGAUUCCUUGUGAGAUCAAGAAUUUAUCGAUCUCUGCCUUGAAGGCACUUUGAAGAACUAUUUAUUACUCACGUGUAUUUGAAAACACUUAAGUAGCUGAAAGCUAAUUGUUACUUUUAGAUGCUAAUGCUGAGCAUAAACAUGCAACAAUGAUAUUUUAAAACUAGAAAAUUUAGGCUCAAGCUGUAAGUAGCACAUUACCAAAUACUCAUUUGACAUAAUGUAUAGAACUAAAAGUAAAUUUUAACAAAUUAUCAUACUAACUGUUGACAACUGUAAUAAUCUAAAUGUUGGAUAAUAGUGUUCUAGAGCAUGUUUUCUAAAGUGACAUUUAAGUGAGGUGAUUUUUUACAUGUGUUAACAAACCUAACAAUGGUGUUUUCUUCAACGCCUUCCAAAAUUCAUCAUCUAAACUACGGAUGAUGAAGAGGAGAACCAGUAAUUCCCUUAACAAUUUUCAGAAAACUAAGGUUCUUUUGUUAUUGCGUGCAUGUGUGUUUCUAAGCACAACUACCAAGACCAUUGCAUGUAUAAUGUGCAACAAUAGUAUGCUAUUUGGAAGAAGUGUGUUUAAAAUUUAGGACUUCAGAGAAACUGUACAUUUGUGCAAUACAUCCUUGUGAACUUUACAGUACUCCAGAGAGGUCAGGUUCUUUGCUAAAGAGAUAAGUGUCACCAACUGUUGAGGACCUACAUCUCUAAGGUUUCAUUUGAAUUUAUAAAUUGUACAUUAUGAAAAUGCAUGCCUUCUGUUUAAGUAACAGAAUCUGUGUAUUGGGUCAACAAGACAAAGAACUACUUUAUAAAAAUGGCUGUGUACAAAAUGCAACUAUAUUUAUGAAAAACGUAGAUGAAAGGUACAAAUCCUGAAUGUAAAUUACAUCCUGUAGGUUGACAGUUUCAUAACUUCAAUGUAUUUUUUUUCUAAGGAAAGUUUUUUUUCUCUUGGUGUGAGAUAAAAUGAGAGAAUUUCCUCUUGCACUGUAACUUAACUUUUAAGUUGUAGCGCGUUAACAGAAGCAUUGGUGCAAUAAGAAAAUUGUGAUGCAGAUUUGAAAAGAACCUGUCAGUUGUCAGAAAAUAGCAUGUUUAAUGGUGAAAACCUGUAAAUAAGAUCUGAUGUUUAUUUCAGUGAUAACAUUGUAACAUGCCGGUUUCAUAAAUUCAGGUAAAUAAAGUUACUCCACAUUACAACAUC